CAGUGUAUGUUUGAGCUGUCUUUAGCUUUCAUGUUCUUUUCUUUAUAUCCCAAAACUUCAUCUUCAAACUUCCUUUCAUUGUCUCGCUUAACAGUCAUAACGUUUCCUCGUGCACCUAAAAAUUGUGUUGAUGUUAACUGAAAUUGUAAGUGAAGACAUCGGAGGCAUGAUCAUUAUACUUAUAUACAUGAGUAGAUAAUAUGUUUUCCGCGUUGGUGCUGUUUCAUAUUUGUUUCGCUUUUGUAUUAAAUUCUUUUUAGCAUCUGCUAAGUUUCAAAUUUGUAUCUUACAGGUAUAUACCAAGAUACACCUUUAGCUGGCUGGUCCAACCAAUGUGGUUAGUUAUAAAGUGUCUGCACAGAGCUGCCGAUCUUACCCCGGUGCCUUCUGCUGCCAUCGCAAAGGAUCUAGUAGAAGCUAAAGCAACAACAGGAGUUCUUUACAUUCUGGAUAAAAAUCAGAGGUUGAAGAAGGAAGAGAUUCUAGAUCGGAGGACCCUGAACAGGCAACACAGGAAAGUGGAAAUGGUGUAGAUGGAAAAAAUUGAGUUAUGUUCAUCUAGAAAAUGAGAUUUGUUCGUUAAAGUUUAAAGGAUAUAACUAUUUGUUCAUCAAUAAUGCUCCUUAUGUUCAUCAAUAUUGUUCUUUUGGUUCA